rnacentral:rRNA from 1 species
GUACUAAUACUCCAUAACAUCCAGGGAGGCAUCUUCUUGGGUUGAAAACUCCGGUGGUAAUGGAUGGGCAUGCGUUGUAUUAGUUAGUUGGUGGGGUAACGGCUCACCAAGACAACGAUACAUAGGGGGACUGAGAGGUUAACCCCCCACAUUGGUACUGAGACACGGACCAAACUCCUACGGGAGGCAGCAGUGAGGAAUAUUGGUCAAUGGACGCAAGUCUGAACCAGCCAUGCCGCGUGCAGGAAGACGGCUCUAUGAGUUGUAAACUGCUUUUGUACGAGGGUAAACGCAGAUACGCGUAUCUGUCUGAAAGUAUCGUACGAAUAAGGAUCGGCUAACUCCGUGCCAGCAGCCGCGGUAAUACGGAGGAUUCAAGCGUUAUCCGGAUUUAUUGGGUUUAAAGGGUGCGUAGGCGGUCGGAUAAGUUAGAGGUGAAAUCCCGGGGCUCAACUUCGGAAUUGCCUCUGAUACUGUUCGGCUAGAGAGUAGUUGCGGUAGGCGGAAUGUAUGGUGUAGCGGUGAAAUGCUUAGAGAUCAUACAGAACACCGAUUGCGAAGGCAGCUUACCAAGCUACUUCUGACGUUGAGGCACGAAAGCGUGGGGGAGCAAACAGGAUUAGAUACCCUGGUAGUCCACGCAGUAAACGAUGAUAACU